rnacentral:rRNA from 1 species
GACGAACGCUGGCGGCGUGCUUAACACAUGCAAGUCGAACGGAAAGGCCCUGCUUUUGUGGGGUGCUCGAGUGGCGAACGGGUGAGUAACACGUGAGUAACCUGCCCUUGACUUUGGGAUAACUUCAGGAAACUGGGGCUAAUACCGGAUAGGAGCUCCUGCUGCAUGGUGGGGGUUGGAAAGUUUCGGCGGUUGGGGAUGGACUCGCGGCUUAUCAGCUUGUUGGUGGGGUAGUGGCUUACCAAGGCUUUGACGGGUAGCCGGCCUGAGAGGGUGACCGGCCACAGUGGGACUGAGAUACGGCCCAGUCUGCUACGGGAGGCAGCAGGGGGAAAUAUUGCACAAUGGGCGGAAGCCUGAUGCGGCAACGCCGCGUGCGGGAUGACGGCCUUCGGGUUGUAAAACGCUUUCGCCUGUGACGAAGCGUGAGUGACGGUAAUGGGUAAAGAAGCACCGGCUAACUACGUG